rnacentral:rRNA from 1 species
UGGGGAAUAUUGCACAAUGGGGGAAACCUUGAUGCAGCGACGCCGCGUGAGCGAUGAAGGCUUUCGAGUCGUAAAGCUCUGUCCUAUGGGAAGAUAAUGACGGUACCAUAGAAGAAAGCCCCGGCUAAUUACGUGCCAGCAGCCGCGGUAAUACGUAAGGGGCGAGCGUUGUCCGGAAUUAUUGGGCGUAAAGAGUGCGUAGGCGGCAAAUUAAGUCAGAUGUGAAAACUAAGGGCUCAACCCAUAGAUUGCAUCUGAAACUGAUAUGCUUGAGUCAAGGAGAGGAAAGUGGAAUUCCUAGUGUAGCGGUGGAAUGCGUAGAUAUUAGGGGGAAUACCGGUGGCGAAGGCGACUUUCUGGACUUGAACUGACGCUGAGGCACGAAAGCGUGGGGAGCAAACAGG